rnacentral:other from 1 species
CCAAGCCUGAGAUGUACGAAAAAGUAGCUUAUCAUAUUCAACCUACAUUAUAUUUUCGGGAUUUGCAAUAGAUUUAGAUAUAUUGGACUUCAGAAAUUUGUAAUAAUUGAAAUAAUAUUAUUACAGCAGAAGAUAAUAGAAGUGAAUUGAGCGAACCCCACCUGCGAGCGGCAGGUUUUGAAUAUGUAAGUGAACGGCAUUGUGGGUAUGUU